GGGGAUUUAGCUCAGUGGUAGAGCACUUGCCUAGCAAGCGCAGGGCCCUGGGUUCGGUCCCCAGCUCCCCCC
rfam:Rattus norvegicus chromosome 4, whole genome shotgun sequence.